rnacentral:rRNA from 1 species
UACGUAGGGGGCAAGCGUUGUCCGGAUUUAUUGGGCGUAAAGAGCGUGUAGGCGGCUAGGUAGGUCCGUUGUGAAAACUCGAGGCUCAACCUCGAGACGCCGAUGGAAACCAUCUAGCUAGAGUCCGGAAGAGGAGAGUGGAAUUCCUGGUGUAGCGGUGAAGUGCGCAGAUAUCGGGAGGAACACCAAUGGCGAAGGCAGCUCGCUGGGACGUUACUGACGCUGAGACGCGAAAGCGUGGGGAGCAAACAGG